GUCCAGGUGGUGCAGUGGUUUGAGCAUUGGCCUACAACUCUGAAGACCAGGGUUUGAAUCCCUGCUCGGCCA